rnacentral:snRNA from 1 species
UUGCUUUGGCAGCACAGAUACUAAACUUGGAACCACACAGAGGAGAUUAGCAUGGCCCCUGCACAGGGAUGACAUGCAAAUUUGUGAGGCGUUCCAUAUUUUU